rnacentral:rRNA from 1 species
GAAUCUGCCUAGUAGUGGGGGAUAGCCCGGGGAAACUCGGAUUAAUACCGCAUACGCCCUACGGGGGAAAGCAGGGGAUCUUUCGGGACCUUGCGCUAUUAGAUGAGCCUGCGUCGGAUUAGCUUGUUGGUGGGGUAAAGGCCUACCAAGGCAACGAUCCGUAGCUGGUCUGAGAGGAUGAUCAGCCACACCGGAACUGAGACACGGUCCGGACUCCUACGGGAGGCAGCAGUGGGGAAUAUUGGACAAUGGGGGCAACCCUGAUCCAGCCAUGCCGCGUGUGUGAAGAAGGCCUUCGGGUUGUAAAGCACUUUAAGCAGGGAGGAAAGGCGUACGGUUAAUACCCGUGCGAGUUGACGUUACCUGCAGAAUAAGCACCGGCUAACUUCGUGCCAGCAGCCGCGGUAAUACGAAGGGUGCAAGCGUUAAUCGGAAUUACUGGGCGUAAAGCGCGCGUAGGCGGUUUGGUUAGUUGGAUGUGAAAGCCCAGGGCUCAACCUUGGAACUGCAUCCAAUACUGCCAGGCUAGAGUACGAGAGAGGGGGGUAGAAUUCCACGUGUAGCGGUGAAAUGCGUAGAGAUGUGGAGGAAUACCAGUGGCGAAGGCGGCCCCCUGGAUCGAUACUGAC